UUUAAAAAUUUAAGGUACCGCCUGCUCAAUGCUUUUAGUAAAUAGCCGCAGUAUUUUGACUGUGCUAAGGUAGCAUAAUCAUUAGUCUCUUAAUUGGAGGCUGGUAUGAAUGGUGAGACGAGAAAAAGACUGUCUCAAGGGGAAACAUGAAAUUCAUUUUUUAGUGAAAAAGCUAAAAUACUUUCAAGGGACGAUCAGACCCUAUGGAGCUUUAUUCUUUAUUUUAACUAAGUUUUUAAAAAUUUGUUAAGAAUAAGGAAUUUCGUUGGGGCGACGAAGAGUUAAAAGUAACACUCUUUUUUAUGAACAUUUUUAAAUGAAAAAUUGAUCCCUAAAGAAGGAUUAAAAGACUAAGUUACCCUAGGGAUAACAGCGUAAUUUUUUUGGAGAGUUCAAAUCGAUAAAAAAGUUUGCGACCUCGAUGUUGGAUUAGGAAUUUAGUUAGGUGCAGAUGUUUAACUGUAGAGU
rnacentral:rRNA from 1 species